UUAAUUGGAUUUUUUUCCCCUUCUGUUUUCCCAAUCACAGGUAGAAAACGUGAAAUUACUAGAUUGUUAUGUAGCCAAGAAAUUGGCUAACGGGACCCUGUACCUGACUGCCACACACUUCAUCUACAUAGACAUAUCUGCUGAAGUCCGGAAGGAAACAUGGAUUUUGCACCACCAUAUUGCCAGUGUGGAGAAACUGCCUCUUACCCCCACAGGGUGUCCCCUGCUCCUCCGCUGCAAGAACUUCCGGGUGGCUCACUUCAUCUUCGGGUCUGAGCGCGAGGGCCAUGCAGUUUAUACCUCCCUCCUGAAGCUUUCCCAGCCAGGAUAAAAGGAAUAUGGCACAUGCAGAAGACUCGAUUCCAGAAGGGUGUACCACUGUAAGACAAGGAGCUGCGUAUCUACCUUUGGUUACUGUAUGUCUUUUCAG